GACGAACGCUGGCGGCGUGCUUAACACAUGCAAGUGGAGCGACGAACCAGGGCUUGCCCUGGGGCAGAGCCGCGAACGGGUGAGUAACACGUGGGUAACGUGCCCCGAUGAUCGGGACAACCCGGGGAAACCCGGGCUAAUACCGAAUGUGCUCCCCUCACACCAGUGAGGGAUGGAAAGGAAGCUUCGGCCUCCGCAUCGGGAUCGGCCCGCGGCCCAUUAGCUUGUUGGUGAGGUAACGGCUCACCAAGGCUGCGAUGGGUAGCUGGUCUGAGAGGACGAUCAGCCACACUGGGACUGAGACACGGCCCAGACUCCUACGGGAGGGCAGCAGUGGGGAAUCUUGCGCAAUGCGCGAAAGCGUGACGCAGCAACGCCGCGUGGGGAAGACGGCCU
rnacentral:rRNA from 1 species